CAGCCGCCACGGUAAUACGUAGGGUGCGAGCGUUAAUCGGAAUUACUGGGCGUAAAGCGUGCGCAGGCGGUUCGUUAAGACAGAUGUGAAAUCCCCGGGCUUAACCUGGGAACUGCAUUUGUGACUGGCGAGCUAGAGUAUGGCAGAGGGGGGUAGAAUUCCGCGUGUAGCAGUGAAAUGCGUAGAGAUGUGGAGGAAUACCGAUGGCGAAGGCAGCCCCCUGGGCCAAUACUGACGCUGAGGCACGAAAGCUAGGGGAGCAAACAGGAUUAGAUACCCGCGUAGUCCCUGUCUCUUAUAC
rnacentral:rRNA from 1 species